UACGUAGGAGACGAGCGUUGUCCGGAGUUACUGGGCGUAAAGGGUGCGCAGGCGGCCUGGCGCGUCGCGAGGGAAAUCUCCUGGCUCAACUGGGAGGGUGGUCGCGAGACGGCUGGGCUUGAGGCUCGGUGAGGGGCGUGGAAUUCCGGUGGAGCGGUGAAAUGCGUAGAGAUCCGGAGGAACACCGACGGCGUAGGCAGCGCCCUAGACGAGACCUGACGCUCAGGCACGAAAGCGAGGGGAGCAAACAGG
rnacentral:rRNA from 1 species